UUGAUCCUGGCUCAGAAUCAACGCUGGCGGCGUGCCUAACACAUGCAAGUCGAACGCGAAAGUCCCGCAAGGGAUAAGUAGAGUGGCAAACGGGUGAGUUACGCGUGGGUGACCUGCCUUCGAGCGGGGGAUAACGUUCCGAAAGGGACUCUAAUACCGCAUGACAUCCUGUCUUUUAAGAGAUGGUGAUCAAAGCGGCUUCGCAAGACGUCGCACUCGAAGAGGGGCCCGCGUCCGAUUAGCUAGUUGUUGAGGUAACGGCUCACCAAGGCAUCGAUCGGUAGCCGGCCUGAGAGGGCUGACGGCCACACUGGGACUGAGACACGGCCCAGACUCCUACGGGAGGCAGUAGUGGGGAAUUGUUCGCAAUGGGCGCAAGCCUGACGACGCAACGCCGCGUGGAGGAUGAAGACCUUCGGGUCGUAAACUCCUUUCGAUCGAGGAGAAUUUCUCCCGGGUGAACAAUCCGGGAGGUUGACGGUACCGAGAGAAGAAGCCCUGGCUAACUCCGUGCCAGCAGCCGCGGUAAUAAGGU
rnacentral:rRNA from 1 species